rnacentral:lncRNA from 1 species
AACAUCAUUAAUAUACAAAAUAUUUCUAUUACUUAACUAUAAUUACUUAACUACUUAACUAGACGUUCUCUGCUGCUGUACAGCUCCGGAGCCACCUGUUCCUUUUCCAAUAUCCACGCUGGCCACCAAGAACCAUCAGACUCUAGUUAGCUUCGUUCUUUGAGGCUACAUCAAAAUUAUCUAUAAGAUCUGGCGCCUCCUCAUCCUCUUCGUCAACGUCUCCAGACUUGGGUGCUUUGCUACCCAUCACUUGCCAAAGGAAGUCUCGUUGAACUGUCUGUAUCAAGCAGGCAUAAUAUUCCAGGAAGCAUUUCUGUGAUUGGCUUGGAUUCCACGUGACCAGCGAUUGCAAAGGAAUCUUGGACUUGGCCUUUGGAACCAUCAAAAACUCUCCUAUGGAAGCAUCAAGGAAGAGGCCUUCAUAUAACUUCAAAAACAAAUUUAGUUACCCAGGAUAAGAAUCAAAUCAGUAAAUCAAGGAUGGAAGCAGGAACUUUGCAGCAAAUAUCUGUAAUAUUCGAUACAAAGAGAAGGGAUUGGCACGUCUUCACAUGGAUGCAGGAGUCAGGAAUGGAGAAUUCUGUUCUGCAUCUGAUUCUUUUUUUUCAAUGCUAAAAUAAUCAAUACGCUUAUUUUUAUAUGUCACAAUACAAAUAUAAGCUGCAUUUCUGCCCCACUCUUCCUUUUUAAAUUGUUUCUUUGACAGGAAGUGGGAAGUCUUCUUACAUGUUUGGAAACCACCUCUGGGGCAGUUAGCAAAAAACAAAACACAAAAACUGGCAAGCUAUCAACAAUCAUGACAGAAUGCUCCAACUCUCUAAAAAGAGAAAUGCAAAUUAAAACCCUGAAGCUUUACACAAUUUUGAGAAAGAUGACAUGAGGAAAAUGGUCAGUGUUGGAGGGACUGUGGAAAGAUAGGCACACCAAUGAACUUUUGGUGGAGCUAUGAAUAUGACAAUUCUGAAAAAUGAUUUGGAAUUACUCUAAAAAGUCACUAAAACACACAUCUUUGACUCAGUGAUAUCACUAUUGGCAUAUAAUCCAAGAAGGGCGAAGAUAGUGGGAAAGGUCCCAUAUAUACAAAAAUGUCAAUAGUAGCACUUUUUAUAGUAGCAAAGAACUGCAAACCAACAAUACCCACCAAUUGAGAAACCGACCAACUGGAAGAGGG